GUUAUUUUGUUUAUCAUUGUCUCAGGGUUUACUUUCGUUCCUUGAUCUUUCAAACCUGCCGGAAUCUAUACCGAAACUACCUCAAGUAUAGUUUCGGUUUCUUUGCAUGGGCAGCGCUUUGAAGUAAAACCGGUAAAACCGUUAAACCGGCCGGCCAAGACAAUCCAUCUUUUCAAAGGCGUCGCAGACUCGCAGUUUCAUCUGGACGUGUCGUUUGGACGUGUUGACGGAUUUAAAGCCGCAAGUGGCAGCCGGAGGAACUACGGCUAGAAGAUUACGUGACUUCGCUCGGCUCUAAGCUGCAGCCUAACGCCCGCUAUUGUCAGCAGAGAGAGGGAGAGGAAGUGUCCUCCGAGACAGCACACGGGAACCCACACGGCACUCCGAAGGACGUCACUAGGAGGGGGACCCGGUGUGACCCUGAAGACUGGAAGUGCCACCCUGACCAGGCUGAAGCUGACAUGAUUAGCAAGCAUCGUAGCGACUGGUUUUCCUGACUCAGCUGGCUUGUCUGGCAGCUUGCAACCUAUGGGAACCUGAGGAACUGCAUCACAAGAGUGAAAGGGACGCCCACCUAGCACUUCUUCGAGGAUGGUGCCUUGAAGAAGGGAGGACUGCGCCUAAAGUGAAUGCUAUGGCAGGCAAUGUGCUGAGGCUUGGGCCAUGUGGAACUGGAGGCAGCCAAGUCAUCAAAGAAGAUAGGACUUCGGCUCAUUCAGAAACCAUGUGAACUACGGCACAAGAGGCCCAGGGCACCGGAACAGCUGGCUGAAUAAACAGCUAAGCCUUUCAAACAUUGAAGUGUGUGCUAUCCCAAGGGGAGUAGUUUGAAGGGGAUUAGAGUUUUAGACCUCAAGGCAAAUAAAUGUAUUUUUUCCUUCCAAA
rnacentral:misc_RNA from 1 species